UAACAUUAAGCGGCCAAAGCCCAUGCAAAUGGGUGAGAUGAUGCGAAGAGCGUUUGUGUAUAUCCGGGGGAGUGGCCUAUAGGAAUGCCGCCAACCUUCAUUCCCCCGGUUUGCUAGG
rnacentral:sRNA from 18 species